rnacentral:rRNA from 1 species
AGCCUAUCAGGUAGUUGGUGAGGUAAUGGCUCACCAAGCCUACGACGGGUAGCCGGCCUGAGAGGGUGACCGGCCACACUGGGACUGAGACACGGCCCAGACUCCUACGGGAGGCAGCAGUGGGGAAUAUUGCACAAUGGGCGAAAGCCUGAUGCAGCAACGCCGCGUGAGGGACGACGGCCUUCGGGUUGUAAACCUCUUUUAGUAGGGAAGAAGCGAAAGUGACGGUACCUGCAGAAAAAGCACCGGCUAACUACGUGCCAGCAGCCGCGGUAAUACGUAGGGUGCAAGCGUUGUCCGGAAUUAUUGGGCGUAAAGAGCUCGUAGGCGGUUUGUCGCGUCUGCUGUGAAAUCCGGAGGCUCAACCUCCGGCCUGCAGUGGGUACGGGCAGACUAGAGUGCGGUAGGGGAGAUUGGAAUUCCUGGUGUAGCGGUGGAAUGCGCA